GUACUACUCUCAGAGUUUGAUCCUGGCUCAGGACGAACGCUGGCGGCAUGCCUAACACAUGCAAGUCGGACGGAACUUGUUAAAUGAAGUUUUCGGAUGGAUUUUGAUAAGUUUAGUGGCGGACGGGUGAGUAACGCGUGAGCAACCUGCCUUUCAGAGGGGGGACAACAGUUGGAAACGACUGCUAAUACCGCAUAACGUAUCGGAACCGCAUGGCUCUGAUACCAAAGAUUUUAUCGCUGAAAGAUGGGCUCGCGUACGAUUAGAUAGUUGGUGAGGUAACGGCUCACCAAGUCGACGAUCGUUAGCCGGACUGAGAGGUUGAACGGCCACAUUGGGACUGAGACACGGCCCAG
rnacentral:rRNA from 1 species